UCCAUAAUUAAUGGCAGAGUUGAGUAAUGAACUUGGUUCUUCUUUGCAAAUAACUUCUGCCUUGUAAUAGGAUCGUUGAAGUUACUGAGAACUACUGAUUUCUAAAUUGCAGGGAAAAAGUAGGAAGAACAGCAUGGUUAAAUCCCCACAUUUAUUUACUGACGUGGGAAUGAUCAAGGGCUUGGUUAUCGAGGGUGGCACAUGUGUUUGCUUGAAAAGUCAUAUGCAAGUGUAGUCAUCGUGUGAAAGACUGGGGCUGCGCGUCAAGGAGCUCAUAGGUUGAAGCGUUUAUAAUCUUGGCUAGAUGUGUUGUGCAGUAUUUAUCAUCUUCGUGAAUGACUGACCAGCACCAAUGAGAUCCCCCACACGAGGUGAAGUUUAGUAUGAAGCUUGUGUUAAUUGAGU